rnacentral:lncRNA from 1 species
AAAAUGUUUUGUUUUCUUGUUACUGUUGCCAAAUUGUAAACCACAAGAUGUCACGGUUUCAGUUCCUUGUUUCAGGACGGGUUCUUUGGCUGUUGGGUGCAACGAUGCGCCACUUCCCACUUGCAAUAUUGCCCCCUAUAUUUAUUAUAAACUCUUCCUCCAUUCCUUUUUUUUCUUAACUAGUUUUCAAUGACAAAUUUAAUUUUCAAUUUAAUGGUUAUUUAGUAUGGUGUAAAUUUAAUUAUUAUAGAAGUUAAAUUAUAUUGUAUUAUAGUGUCAUAUUUAUAAUCUCUUCCUCCUUUUUUUGUUUUUUAAAUAGUGAAACAUAAACAAAAAUGGUAUAUUAAAAAUUGAUGUAUAUUGUUUUAAAAUUAAAACUAAAUACAUUAAGUUUUUAUAUAUUUUACGCUUAUAUUUUAUUUUGUAAGGUGAGUUACAAGAACGGAUUCAAAAAACAUUUAUGGUUAAAUACAAUUUUAAUAUUUGUUGUAGUUAAACUGUUCUUAAAAAUAAUAUUAUAUUUGUUUUAUAAUGGUUGAACCAUGAUUAAAAUUAAAGUUCUAAUAUAACUUUGUUAGAAUAAGACACCGUAAGAUUGGUGAAUAAAUGAUGGAAAGUCUUUGGUAGUGGCAAGUAAAAUAGGAGAAUUGAGAGAGAGACGGAACCAGGAGAAUUGAGGGUAAUAUAGUGUUAUUGUAUUAACUUUGAUGAUUGUGCAUCUAAAACAUUUAUAUAAGAGUUACAACUUGAUUGAGAAUUUAAAUUGACCGGAUAAAAUUAAUAGAAAAACAAAAUAUUGCGUUUGUAAGUGGUUGGUCAAAGUGGUUAAUUGGCUACACCUAGGGAUGUGCAUGGAUCAUGAACCAAACCAAAUUGGACCAUAUAUAUGGCUCGGUUUGGUUCUUAAAAUCAUUUUCAUAAAACCAAUUUAUUUUUUAGAAAUCGGUUUAUAAGUGGAUCGGUUCGGUUUUAAACCGGUUUUUCAAAAAAAAAU